GAAUAGCUCAAUUGGUUAGACCGUGGUGCUGGCAACACCAAGGUUGCAGGUUUCAACCCAGUAAGGGACA